rnacentral:rRNA from 2 species
UAUCGUCUAUUUGAUAGUACCUUACUACUUGGAUAACCGUGGUAAUUCUAGAGCUAAUACAUGCUGAAAACCCCGACUUCGGAAGGGAUGUAUUUAUUAGAUUAAAAACCAAUGCCCUCCGGGGCUCCCUGGUGAUUCAUGAUAACUCCUCGAAUCGCACGGCCUUGCGCCGGCGAUGGCUCAUUCAAAUUUCUGCCCUAUCAACUUUCGACGGCUGGGUCUUGGCCAGCCGUGGUGACAACGGGUAACGGAGGGUUAGGGCUCGACCCCGGAGAAGGAGCCUGAGAAACGGCUACUACAUCUAAGGAAGGCAGCAGGCGCGCAAAUUACCCAAUCCCGACGCGGGGAGGUAGUGACAAUAAAUACUGAUACAGGGCUCUUUUGGGUCUUGUAAUUGGAAUGAGUACAGUUUAAUUCCCUUAACGAGGAACAAUUGGAGGGCAAGUCUGGUGCCAGCAGCCGCGGUAAUUCCAGCUCCAAUAGCGUAUAUUAAAGUUGUUGCAGUUAAAAAGCUCGUAGUUGAACCUUGGGCCUGGCUGGCCGGUCCGCCUCACCGCGUGCACUGGUCCGGCCGGGCCUUUCCCGCUGGGGAGCCGCAUGCCCUUCACUGGGCGUGCCGGGGAACCAGGACGUUUACUUUGAAAAAAUUAGAGUGUUCAAAGCAGGCUUAUGCUCGGAUACAUUAGCAUGGAAUAAUGAAAUAGGACGCGCGGUUCUAUUUUGUUGGUUUCUAGGACCGCCGUAAUGAUUAAUAGGGACAGUCGGGGGCAUCAGUAUUCAAUUGUCAGAGGUGAAAUUCUUGGAUUUAUUGAAGACUAACUACUGCGAAAGCAUUUGCCAAGGAUGUUUUCAUUAAUCAGGAACGAAAGUUAGGGGAUCGAAGACGAUCAGAUACCGUCGUAGUCUUAACCAUAAACUAUGCCGACUAGGGAUCGGACGCUGUUGUCUACUGACGCGUUCGGCACCUUGCACGAAAGUACAA